GAAAAGGCUCUUAGAGCCACCAUAAAACUAUAAGAAAAUAUAU
rfam:Aedes albopictus isolate Foshan contig33504, whole genome shotgun sequence.